rnacentral:rRNA from 1 species
GAUGAACGCUAGCGGCAGGCCUAACACAUGCAAGUCGAGGGGUAACUAGAGUGAUAGCAAUAUUACUUUGGCUAGACCGGCGCACGGGUGCGUAACACGUAUGCAACCUACCUUAUACUGGGGAAUAACUUCGAGAAAUCGGCGCUAAUACCCCAUAACAUUGCGAAGAGGCAUCUCUUUGCAAUUAAAGCUCCGGCGGUAUAAGAUGGGCAUGCGUCCAAUUGGCUAGUUGGUGAGGUAACGGCUCACCAAGGCUACGAUUGGUAGGGGUUCUGAGAGGAUGAUCCCCCACACUGGUACUGAGAGACGGACCAGACUCCGAGGGGAGGCAGCAGUGAGGAAUAUUGCGCAAUGGACGAAAGUCUGACGCAGCCAUGCCGCGUGCAGGAUGACGGCCAUAUGGGUUGUAAACUGCUUUUGUACGGGAAUAAACCCUUCUACGUGUAGGAGGCUGAAGGUACCGUAAGAAUAAGCACCGGCUAACUCCGUGCCAGCCGCCGCGGUAAUAC